UUCAAAUUCUCGGAGCAUUGCGCGUGCUUCUGUUGUGCGGGCUGAUGCGAAGCAUUCUGGGAAGUGUCUCCCAGGUGGUUUCUGUUAGCAUCCGCUCCCCUUGUCCUCCCUUGAGUCUCCUCUCUCCCACACCUUCCUCGACUGAUGCCUGGAUCUGGAGCCUGACCUCUCAACAAGGACUGAGUGGAAGGUGAGGUCCUGACUCCUUCAGCAAGGCUCCUGAAGCAACAGAGAGACAAGGCUUGGGAUGCUGGCUGUGGGGUGAGGCUGGGUUCAGGAACCCCACCUGCCUCUGCUUUCACCUGCGCGUGGGUGCAAAGCUGCCAUCUUUGUUGGUAAGAAUGCCCUAAAACACCAGGUACCUCACCGAGGGAGUUGCCUGCGCAUGUUCAUUUGCUUCCCAUCAUAAUCUUGGGACCGACGUUCUAUCUCUGUCCUUUUUAUAGGCAAGGAUGCGCACAGCAGCUUAGGUGUUGGGACCGAGGCCACACAGUAGCUUCUCCUUUGCAGGGAUGUGUGAGGAACUUUCGUGGGGCAGUGUGCUAGCAUGCAUGUGCUACUCGGGGUCCCGGUGUGCCAAACGCUAGCACAUUUCUAGCCCUUAUAACGACUUUUGAGAUAGGGUCUCACUGUGUGAUCCAGGCCAACUUGAACUGAGAGCAAUCCUCCUGCUUCAGUCUCUCCUGAAUGCUAGAAUUGCAGGUGUGUGACAUCCUACCAAGCUCUUGUUUCUGUCCAGCAGUGAUAACUCCUGUAGUCUGUUAAUUCAAAUUACAUUGAUUAUAAUGAUGUGAUUACCUGCAUCUCACAGAGGCAGAGACUUUAUUCCGUUGUCUCUGUAUCUACGGGUAGUCUUUCAUGGCUCUCCUCUUAACUGGACGGGUUUGCAGACCUUAUGUCUUUGGAAGCUAGCCACCCACGCAGCCUGCUUUUUAGAGUGCUGAUGUGAGCACCAUUUUCUACUGUCUCAGGGUGAAAGGCAGAUUCAGAGACAAGAGAAGGGUGACUGCUGGAAGCACAACGGUUGUAUGUGUAGCUGGGCAGGUCGCUCUUGGCCACGUGCUGGCAGCUGCCGGGGUGCAUGGUGUUUGAGUCAGCCUCCCUGAGGAAGGAACACAGUGGCCGUCUACUGAAGGCAGCCACUGCGCUGCUCAUACCCUGGCCGGGCUCUCAUGGUUUUUUUCUUUUCACUUCUUUCACUGUGCCUUCUUAAGACCCAGCC
rnacentral:lncRNA from 1 species